UUCACAUUUGAAACGGUUUACAUUAACAAACACAUAGUUCAAAUGCGAAUCGAAUGCAAGUGAAUUGUUUGUCUAUCUAUGGUCAACAUGUUGGGGUAUGACUAUAAACCACUUUUACCAAUUUUAAGAAACAUUGUUGAAUUUUAUUUAUGGAAGCUUACUUUUCAUUUAUAUAAAUUUAAGAUUAAUAUUUCUGAGAUGUAGGUUAUGGAUUGUCUCUACUUAUAAAGGGGGAGGAUUCCCAGUUAUUUAAUAUAUUUAAUUAAAUUGUAUUCAGGCGCGUAGCUCCCUAUACGCCAACACGCAGUUGCGUGCACAUCAAUUCAGCAUGCAAAAAAAAAUGUCAAAAUAAAAUUUAUAGCAUUCGGCAUGCAAAAAAAAAAUGUCAAAAUAAAAAUUUAAAGGAAACACAAAUAUGUUGU
rnacentral:lncRNA from 1 species